CACAUGCAAGUCGAACGGCAGCACGGGAGCAAUCCUGGUGGCGAGUGGCGAACGGGUGAGUAAUACAUCGGAACGUGCCCAGUAGUGGGGGAUAACCCGGCGAAAGCCGGACUAAUACCGCAUACGACCUACGGGUGAAAGCAGGGGAUCGCAAGACCUUGCGCUAUCGGAGCGGCCGAUGUCAGAUUAGCUUGUUGGCGGGGUAAAAGCCCACCAAGGCGACGAUCUGUAGCUGGUCUGAGAGGACGACCAGCCACACUGGGACUGAGACACGGCCCAGACUCCUACGGGAGGCAGCAGUGGGGAAUUUUGGACAAUGGGCGCAAGCCUGAUCCAGCCAUGCCGCGUGCGGGAAGAAGGCCUUCGGGUUGUAAACCGCUUUUGUCAGGGAAGAAACGCUCCGGGUUAAUACCCUGGAGUAAUGACGGUACCUGAAGAAUAAGCACCGGCUAACUACGUGCCAGCAGCCGCGGUAAUACGUAGGGUGCAAGCGUUAAUCGGAAUUACUGGGCGUAAAGCGUGCGCAGGCGGCUUUGCAAGACAGAUGUGAAAUCCCCGGGCUUGACCUGGGAACUGCAUUUGUGACUGCAUGGCUGGAGUGCGGCAGAGGGGGAUGGAAUUCCGCGUGUAGCAGUGAAAUG
rnacentral:rRNA from 1 species